ensembl:lncRNA
GUGAGACGAUGUAUUUUGUGUAGGUGCUGGUUUCUGAUGUGGAUAGUUGAGUAGAACUUAACUAAUGGGGUGCUUUUGUGAAGUGAAAGGGAGAACUGAAGGAACAGCACAGUGCUGCACCGGACGAGGUUCAGACUGGAUAUUGGGAAAAAUUUCUCUCCAAGUGUGGAUGGACACUGGAACGGCUUCCUAGAGCGAUGGUUGAUGCCUCCUGGCCUGUCAGUGUUCAGGAGGCAUUUGGACAUUGUCCUCAACAUGAAUUGACUUGUGCUUAGCCCUGAAGCUGUCACGCACUUAGACUUGAUAAUCUUCAUAGGCCUCUUCCAACUGAUCUGUUAUAAAACAUGGUCACUUUUCUUCCUCUUUUUUGAAUUACAUAAGCUCAGUGAACGGUUUCUGUGCUUGAGAGAGAUGCAGGAUAAGUGGAGAAUGGAAUAAGAGGACAGCAGCACAAUGUCUGCCUUUUGGCAGCUGAAGCUGUUGUGAUAAUUCCAGCAUGCAUGAAACAGCCUAAUGUGCAAUGAUUUAAUUAAAUGAGAUUGCAGACACAUUUGGAGUUCAAGAGGUUCAGUUUGCAUUUUGUUUGUGUCUUUUCUGGACCAUGUGCAAUUAAGCUUGAAAUAUUUCAGUAUGACGUAUGUAAAUGUACAAUAAAGGACAGCCAUGCAUGUCAUCUACUGCAGUUGCUCUUUUGAAGGUAAACUUGUUUGUGUGUCCCUAGGUGUAGGUCCUCAAGCCAAUCAGAUGUACUGUGAAUAGUAAACAUUUUGGGGAUCAAGCUUGCUUUUCUCAUGAAUUGAGUUCUGAUUCUGCUGAUGUGGAGAUGGGAGGAACAAAAAAUUUCAAAGAUUUCUGUUGCCAUUCAGAAACAUUCAAGUCUUGAUUUUUAGAAGUACUACUUUAAGAACUGCAUACAAGUCACCUUGUUUGAUAUGUUUGUGAUAUUGCAGUAAAUUACAGAAUUACAGUAGCCUAGCAGAGGACUUGAACGUCAUUCUAACUUGAACUCAAACCUGUUUUGUUUCCUGGAAGUAUGGAGCCUAGAAAUGGGUACUUGAGCACUGAGGCCUGCUAUCAUGUGCUUUCAGCUACAAGCAUGUCUGAGCCUGAAUCUAGGAUCUGUUUGCAUGUGAAUCCAAAUGCUCCAGUGUGGAUCUGUCCAUUCUUUAACUCAUUAUUUUCUUCUUUGAGACCGACCUGGACAGGCUGGAGAGUUGGGCAGAGAGGAGCCAGAUGAGGUUUAACAAAAGCAAGUGUAGAGUCUUGUGCCUAGGGAGGGAUAACCACAUGCACCAGUACAGGCUGGGGGAUGACCUGCUCUAGAGGAGCUCUGCAAAGGGACCUGGCUGUCCUGGUUUAGGGAGCCUGCUUUGCAGGGGAGUUGGACUCGAUGACCUCUAGAGGUCUCUUCCAACCCCUACAAUUCUGUGAUUCUGUGAUUCCCUGCUGGCUUUGUUUUCCAUAGCAUAUCUUUCUGUUGGAUACUCCUGUUGUUACUACUUGUACGUUUCUGUGUUCUUCUAUACUUUCUUCCUUGUCUGUUGUUUUUACUUUGUUCCUCUUCCUUUCUUCCUUCCUUCUUCUAUAGGUAUUUCUUAGCAUACAGUGUGCCUGUAGUUCUAGUCCAGCUUCUUGUGAACAAAUGGUGACAAGGCAGAACUUUGCAGGUGGCUUACACAGAUGUUUCAGGUGGAGAUAAAAUACCUGACUCUUCAAUUGACUCCAGGCCAGAUGAGCAAUGCCAAAAUGGAGACAGGCAGCUUGCGUGUCUCUUUUCAGAUUGCACUGCGUUAUAUCUCUGCCUGGCAUCUCUCAGGAGAAAUUAAAUCUGCUGAGAACAGCUAAUUAUCUUCUUAAUUGCUUUUUUAAUCUAUGAAUCAUCAUUAGUCAAGAUCUGUGCCAAAACAGGAGCACUAUUUUGAACUGGUUGGAGUAAUCCAUUGUGUGUGCUCUCUAAUAAGGUCUGGGAGAAUUUAUUUUUAAUCUGGAAGUGCACAUUGUUUUUAUUUUGGUAUGGAGGCAAGAAGAUGAAAAGUCAAGAUAUGUAGGGAAGAAAUUGUGAAUACUGCAGGUUAUAUUACUUGGAUACAAAUAUAUUUUUAAUGCAAGCUAUUCUUCAGAUAAUGGGAUGCUUAGAUGAAAUAAAGAUUAAAAAAUAAAAUCACAUCUUCAUGAUGAUAUAAUCAAUGCAGGUAAACAAACUGUAAUUAACUUACGGAAGAUACUAAUAAAAGAGAAGCACAAGAGUACAGUCAUUACAGUCUAAGAAGGCAAGAGUGUCUGAUACUUCUGAAGUGAAUUCCUUGCAGAUGUGUACCAAGUUUUAGAGAAGGUACAAUGUCAGAGUUGAAAUGCUUUAAUAAGAAAAGAGUUAAAUAGGUUGAGUGAACAACUGUGUAGGCACAACAGAAACUUGAUGGUGUGGUAGGUGGUAAAAUUCAUUUAUGAUAUCAUGGAGUUUCCUGCAAAGUGUAUAUAUUUCACCUACUUGAAAGCACAAUAAUUGAGAAGAUUAAUAGUGUGUAGCAAAUGCCAAGACAUACAAAUUGGCACUUACUGUAAAACAUGGCUUAUUAGCUCUAUUGCCUACAACUGUCACAGAAUAGUUAACUGUCACAGAACCACAGCUCAAUUGGGUUGAAAGGGACCUCCCAGCCCCACCCCUGCCAUGGACUGGCUGCCCCCCAGCUCAGGCUGCCCAGGGCCGCUCCAUGGCCUGGGGCACCUCCAGGGAUGGCACCCACAGCUCUGGGCAGCAAUGCCAGUGCGUCACCACCCUCUGAGUAAAGAAUUUCCCCCCAAUCUCAUCUCAGUCUCCCCCCCUUUAGUAGAAAAGCAGUCCCCCUUGUCGUGUUGCUAUCUGCCCGCAGAAGUCGUCGCUCUCCAGAGUGACUGGUACGUCUCAGCAGUUCUGGUGUAUGCUGAGGUUUGUAUACACUGAAUGUCCAUCAUUCACUUCUUGCCUGUUAGCUGUUCAUUUAAACAUUUUUAUUUGUCCACAGUGCUGAGUUUGUGUGCUUUUUGACUUCACACACAGGUUCUGCACAUAAGGGUAGAUGCUAUCUGUCCUUUUGGGUAUUGUUACAUCAUAUUUGUUGCACUUGGACAACUGUGGUAAUAUGUUUUAAGUGAUAUUUUCCAGAUUCUUGGGUUUGGUCUGUUCUGAAAGGAUAGCUAGCCAGAAAUACUGGAUACCUGGAGUGAUUGGGAUGUUGGUAGGGUCAAUUGCAACAGACUUUCUGUUAUUACUGGAAUUUUUGCACAGAACGUCAUGUGGAUACAAAGGAUAUUUGGUAUGCUUUUUGCUUGUGAUUAUUGAUGCUAACUGAAUAGUGACAAACAUGUAAAAUGUGAUUUCAUGUUUCUUAAGCCAUAAUGCCUUCUCAUUUUGAGGGACUUGUUAUUUACUUUUUGCAUUUUUAGUACAUCCACGUAAAAUAGCUAUGAAUGAUGGUGUCCCACUGGCAGAUAAACACUAUCUGUUGACUAUCUAAGUUGUGAACAACAAAGUUAAUAUUUCAGAACAUGGUUUGUCAACAGAAAUGCUUGUGAGCUCUGAAAGUUGCAUAUCUAAAAUACACAAAAGGAUUUCUUUCCGUUAGGGAGGUAGUUUGUUGGCUGCAGUGACAUAGGAAAGUGGCAUAGGAGAACUGGUCUGAUUUGUUAUGCUGAGCAAUAGUGAAACUGAAAGGCAAAGUGAUAAUUGCAUCUGCUAAUAAUUCCAUUAUAAAUAAUUCCAUUAUAAAAUCAGGCAAAAGUUGUUUAGUUGGUGGAUAAACUAAGAACUUUCUGACAGCUUCACUUCUUUUGACAAACAAGAUUUUGCAGGAUUUCUGUAAAAAGUUCUAAAGGAGCCCAGAAAUCCUUUUUUUUUUUUUUUUAAUACAGCUGUGAGGGGGGAAGAAAAAUCUGUGGUUUUUUUUUUUUUUUUUUCUUUGAGGAAAGUGAUCUACUAAUGACUAUGGAAGGUCAGCUGGAAUCUUGUCUUGCUUUCCAGUACUGAUUAAUAUGUAGCCAGUUUAAUAGGCAAUUUAGUUGUCAUAUUGCAG